rnacentral:lncRNA from 1 species
GUCUUUUUUAGGGCCACACUCACGGCAUAUGGAGGUUCCCAGGCUAGGGAUCUAAUCAGAGCCACAGCAAUGCCAGAUCUGAGCCGCAUCUGCAACUUACAUCACAGCUCAUGGCAACACCAGAUCCUUAACCCACUGAUCGAGGCCAGGGAUCAAACCCACAACCUCAUAGUUCCUAGUCAGAUUUGUUUCCGCUGCACCACAGCGGGAACUCCCCCUCUAAGUUUGUCAUUUUUAUUUUCUAUUUUUAGAACACUGUUUCUAUAUGAGGGAUAUUAAUCUGGACUGAUUUCAGUUGCAAAUAUUUUUUUCCAACUUGUCAUUUGAUUUGUGACUACCUUUUAAAGCAGAAAUGUAUACAUCUUUGCAAUUUCGAAGGCAGGUUUAUAUUAUAUAUUUCUUAUGAUGUGGAGUUGAAAUGGUACAAGGUAAUCUUCUAAAAUCCUUGAAAAAUAAGUGCCCCCAUAGAGACUACUGCAUCACAUGGAGCCAGGUAAGUUAUUUAAAGUAUCACUUCAGUUUUAUACCACUUGUAAGGUAUUUCUAAGACAACAACAUAGAAAUGGCAGAAUUUUGUCACCACCCCCCAUAAUAAUUUUGCCUGGAUACCAUCAGAAAUACAGUGAUUUACUAUUUAUACAUUAUGUUCACGACAUUUAUUUAUUUAUUUACUUAUUUAUUUAUUUGGCUUUUUAGGCGUGCACCCAGGGCAUAUGGAGGUUCCUGGGCUAGGGGUCCAAUCAGAGCUACAGCUGCCUGCCUAUGUCAUAGCCACAGCAAUGCUGGAUCUGAGCCAAGUCUGGGACUUACACCACAGCUCAAGACAACACCAGAUCCCUAACCCACUGAGGGAGGUCAGGGAUCAAACCCACAAUCUCAUGGUUACUAGCCAGAUUCAUUUCUGUUGCGCCAGGAAGGAACUCCAUGUUCAUGACAUUUAAAUCAUUAACAUUUAAAAACCUAGAAAGGACUUUUGUGAUUACCUUCUUAAAAAUGAAUAGUCUGGUUUCCCUUGUGUUUUAAAGGUCUUGGCACAUCACAAUAGCUCCAAAAAUGCUUAAAGAUACAGCACAAAAGUGAAAAAAAAAAAUGAAGGGAUGAAAGAAUAUUUAAAUGGAAAGUGGACAGGAACCAGAGGGACUUUUUUUUUUUUUCACGUAACAGGACAUCUUCCACCAAGAUGCCUAAAGACAAAUUUUAUCUUCCAAACCUCUGAAUUCUCUCCCUAAGAAAACCGCCAUCCAAAGAGGUCCAUAUUCAAAGCAUCUCCGUAUAAAAGUAAAUACUU